rnacentral:sRNA from 1 species
UCAACAGCCCUGGACUCGGACGUUCACUGUUCUUAGACAAAACUGGCCAGCAGAGAUAGUAGCAGUGCAAUCUUACCCUCACUGUCCUACCAAUGUGCCUCUUCCCUGUCCUGGAGGAAACACUUCUAGAGGUUAGAAGACAGUUCAGUCUCUGUACACAUUCAUUCUUUAGCCUCU